GGUUAACGGAGCGAAAGCGACGUUCAACCUCAAAAGAAGCAGAGGGGGCUUAGUGGUGGGGUGACUGCGUACCUUUUGUAUAAUGGGUCAGCGACUUAUAUUCUGUAGCAAGGUUAACCGUAUAGGGGAGCCGGAGGGAAACCGAGUCUUAACCGGGCGUUAAGUUGCAGGGUAUAGACCCGAAACCCGGUGAUCUAGCCAUGGGCAGGUUGAAGGUUGGGUAACACUAACUGGAGGACCGAACCGACUAAUGUUGAAAAAUUAGCGGAUGACCUGUGGCUGGGGGUGAAAGGCCAAUCAAACCGGGAGAUAGCUGGUUCUCCCCGAAAGCUAUUUAGGUAGCGCCUCGUGAAUUCAUCUCCGGGGGUAGAGCACUGUUUCGGCUAGGGGGCCAUCCCGGCUUACCAACCCGAUGCAAACUGCGAAUACCGGAGAAUGUUAUCACGGGAGACACACGGCGGGUGCUAACGUCCGUCGUGAAGAGGGAAACAACCCAGACCGCCAGCUAAGGUCCCAAAGUCAUGGUUAAGUGGGAAACGAUGUGGGAAGGCCCAGACAGCCAGGAUGUUGGCUUAGAAGCAGCCAUCAUUUAAAGAAAGCGUAAUAGCUCACUGGUCGAGUCGGCCUGCGCGGAAGAUGUAACGGGGCUAAACCAUGCACCGAAGCUGCGGCAGCGACACUAUGUGUUGUUGGGUAGGGGAGCGUUCUGUAAGCCUGCGAAGGUGGCCUGUGAGGGUUGCUGGAGGUAUCAGAAGUGCGAAUGCUGACAUAAGUAACGAUAAAGCGGGUGAAAAGCCCGCUCGCCGGAAGACCAAGGGUUCCUGUCCAACGUUAAUCGGGGCAGGGUGAGUCGACCCCUAAGGCGAGGCCGAAAGGCGUAGUCGAUGGGAAACGGGUUAAUAUUCCCGUACUUGGUGUUACUGCGAAGGGGGGACGGAGAAGGCUAUGUUGGCCGGGCGACGGUUGUCCCGGUUUAAGCGUGUAGGUGUGUGUUCCAGGUAAAUCCGGUUCACUUUAACACUGAGGCGUGAUGACGAGGCACUACGGUGCUGAAGCAACAAAUGCCCUGCUUCCAGGAAAAGCCUCUAAGCAUCAGGUAACAUCAAAUCGUACCCCAAACCGACACAGGUGGUCAGGUAGAGAAUACCAAGGCGCUUGAGAGAACUCGGGUGAAGGAACUAGGCAAAAUGGUGCCGUAACUUCGGGAGAAGGCACGCUGACACGUAGGUGAAGUGAUUUACUCAUGGAGCUGAAGUCAGUCGAAGAUACCAGCUGGCUGCAACUGUUUAUUAAAAACACAGCACUGUGCAAACACGAAAGUGGACGUAUACGGUGUGACGCCUGCCCGGUGCCGGAAGGUUAAUUGAUGGGGUUAUCCGUAAGGAGAAGCUCUUGAUCGAAGCCCCGGUAAACGGCGGCCGUAACUAUAACGGUCCUAAGGUAGCGAAAUUCCUUGUCGGGUAAGUUCCGACCUGCACGAAUGGCGUAAUGAUGGCCAGGCUGUCUCCACCCGAGACUCAGUGAAAUUGAACUCGCUGUGAAGAUGCAGUGUACCCGCGGCAAGACGGAAAGACCCCGUGAACCUUUACUAUAGCUUGACACUGAACAUUGAGCCUUGAUGUGUAGGAUAGGUGGGAGGCUUUGAAGCGUGGACGCCAGUCUGCGUGGAGCCGACCUUGAAAUACCACCCUUUAAUGUUUGAUGUUCUAACGUGGACCCGUAAUCCGGGUUGCGGACAGUGUCUGGUGGGUAGUUUGACUGGGGCGGUCUCCUCCUAAAGAGUAACGGAGGAGCACGAAGGUUGGCUAAUCCUGGUCGGACAUCAGGAGGUUAGUGCAAUGGCAUAAGCCAGCUUGACUGCGAGCGUGACGGCGCGAGCAGGUGCGAAAGCAGGUCAUAGUGAUCCGGUGGUUCUGAAUGGAAGGGCCAUCGCUCAACGGAUAAAAGGUACUCCGGGGAUAACAGGCUGAUACCGCCCAAGAGUUCAUAUCGACGGCGGUGUUUGGCACCUCGAUGUCGGCUCAUCACAUCCUGGGGCUGAAGUAGGUCCCAAGGGUAUGGCUGUUCGCCAUUUAAAGUGGUACGCGAGCUGGGUUUAGAACGUCGUGAGACAGUUCGGUCCCUAUCUGCCGUGGGCGCUGGAGAACUGAGGGGGGCUGCUCCUAGUACGAGAGGACCGGAGUGGACGCAUCACUGGUGUUCGGGUUGUCAUGCCAAUGGCACUGCCCGGUAGCUAAAUGCGGAAGAGAUAAGUGCUGAAAGCAUCUAAGCACGAAACUUGCCCCGAGAUGAGUUCUCCCUGAGACUACGAGUCUCCUGAAGGAACGUUGAAGACGACGACGUUGAUAGGCCGGGUGUGUAAGCGCAGCGAUGCGUUGAGCUAACCGGUACUAAUGAACCGUGAGGCUUAACCUU
rnacentral:rRNA from 1 species